ACAGAUUUAUCACUAUGAGCACAGAGGUGUUCACAGUCGCUUGUUAAGGAAAAUUUGUAGCUAAGUGAAAAUCUGUGGGCUUGGGAAAAUAUUUUACAGACUAUGGCUUUUGAGUAUUGAGCAUCAAAGAUACUCCUGAGUCCAUGGAAGGCUGUUUUGAUGAACAAUGCUACAAGGAGAAGAGUCAGUCCUUGCUGGGGCUGAAAGUCUUGUAGAGGGUGAAGCAAUGCAGCACCCUCAGAUACUGGGAAUGAACCAUAACCAUCCUGUACAUUUCGGCUGCCAAAGGUUUGGUUGCUUGUGGAGGCAUCAAGCAAAGGAACCCAAGAGCUGUGGCUGCUGUUUACACAGGGUUAGGUAAGCUGGCCUGGCUUUUAGAAAGCCCUGAGCAGUCUGAAGAUAUGGAGUCAGCAGGAGUUCUGUUACCAAUGGCUUUGAAUAUGAAAUUGUGUUUGCACCAAGCAAUGCUGGGUGUUCCAGGGUGAGGGAAAAGAAAGAAUAAAUGUAAACCUGCAAAUCAAGUCCAUUGCACUGUAUCUGUAAUGUCUAUGUGGAUUUGUUGAACAAGAAUGUGUAGGGCUUUACUUGGAUGACCUUGUACUGUGUGAAGGAUUUAAUUUCAAGCAAAAGCUUGGAAAUGUUAUGUAUCACUAU